UCAGAUAGCUCAGUUGGUUAGGGCAUGGCGCUCAUAAUGCCAAGGUUGCAGGUUGGACUAGGUGACCCAACUCUAUGAU